GAGGUCCAGGUUAAAUAUUUCAUAUGUUUCACUGCCUGCCAUUAUGAGGCAUUUUUCCAUUUUUUUUCUUCAUUUGUUAGAUGUUUGAAUUGAGAUGUAAAUCAUAGAGUUGGAACGAACAGGAUCCAAUGUCUCCUUUGUGGUUUCAUGGAUGGAAGAGUGGAAUUCACUUGAAUUUCAGAAAACAUCCGUUUGCUGCGUCGUGGACAUAACCAUGGAAAUCCCGUGGUUCUUAUCAUGACAACCAGUGGUCAUACAUGCGCGUACAGUUUCCUGCAGAAACCUACGCUUCAUUCAACCACCAGCAUGACUGUCAGCACAUAACAAUCACCCCAGGACCGCAGUGACCCAUGUUUUUGUUUUUUCUUUACAGCCGUGUAGACCAAUGGAAAUUCAAAUUCGGUCUCAGUGAGAAAAUCCAGUUAAGAAGAUCCAGCAGUUCCAGUAGAUGGUGAGAAUUUCCUGUAACCCGGAUCUACUUUGCCACUGAAACGACCAGAGGAACUCUCUUUUUUGGGGUUUCCCAACCGUAGGAAGCAAAUGUCCAUCCAGCCCACGGGUUAAUCCGUCUUCCUGUCACUCUGCGUGUGUUUGUGCAUAGGAUUGUCGAGAAGAGACAAAGAUGCUGUGUGUCUAUUAUUUGCUAAAGUUAGUUUGUCAUGUCAUGUGUCUGUUCAUUCGUGCUCUCUUUAUGUUUCUCAUCCUCAGUGUGGGUUAGCAGGUUAGCUGCAGAGCUGAAGAAAAUGGAUGGAGAUGCAAAUAAAUCAGGCUCAUGAUUUUCUAGUUAAAUACAAAGGGAUGGAUUGUGGUGUGUUGUUCCACAUGUAAACUCUAAAGAAAAACAAAAGAGAAGGCAAUACAUUUGUUUGAUGCUGGCUAAGAAUGUCAUUUUUCUUUCUUGAGGAAAAGUUACUUUGAUUAUAUUACAUUUGUUAUACUCUGUAGAUGUAACCACUUCACAUAAUCAUAAUAAAAGUUAUUUUAGCCACUCAUUUUGUUAAUGUUUCAAUCAACGACAUCACAGAAUAUUUGUACAGGUAACCUUUUUGUCAGAAUCCCAGAGGGACUUUGAAUGUUUAAACAUUAACCUUCAAAAGUCAUUGCCACCUACUUGUAUGCAAAUAAACCUUGUUAAAGUUUAAAAUGUUGACUCGCUUGUCUGAAACUGCUUUGUUAAGCUAAUAUAGGAGUAGGUGGAGCAUCAGUGAAAUGUCACACCUUUUGGGUUUAACCUGUACGAAGAACGAGGGAGACGACAGCAAGAUCUCUCCAGCCGAGUUGGACUUGUGCGCAGCUUUAUCCUGGAUCCUGCAGAAUAUCUACACACUCACCUUCAACUCCAAGGGACAAGCAAGUCAUUUGAGUACAUUUACAAAACACUUUAAAUGUUUUAGGCAGGGACAUUUCGUAUGGCAGAU